rnacentral:lncRNA from 1 species
GUGUAAUUUUAUAAUGUUUUCAUUGUGCGUGUUCGGACUAUUAGGAUUAUUGGUUUUAUUGUGUGUAAUCGGACUACUAGAUUUACUAGAUUUAUUGUGUAUAAUCAAACUAUUACAAUUAAUGGGUUUAUCGUGUGUAAUUAGGAUUACUGGAUUUUAUUAUGUAUAAUUUGAAACUCCUAUAUAUUACAAGUAGUACAUAUAUUUAUCAUAUAUAACCAAUAUAUUAUUUAUUAGUAGACUAUGUAUGUAGUAAAUAAGACUAUUAAAACUAUUUAGAUAAUUGUUUUUCUAAAGUUUUAGGAAUAUUUAUUAUUUUUUGAAAAUGCUUCCUUAACUUUCAUGGUAGUUAUGUGAAUCGUAAAGAUAUAAUAUAUAGAAUUUAUAAAAAU